UACGGAGGAUCCAAGCGUUUAUCCGGAUUUAUUGGGUUUAAAGGGUGCGUAGGUGGUUCUUUAGGUCAGGGGUGAAAGACGGCAGCUUAACUGUCGCAGUGCCUUUGAUACUGAAGAACUUGAAUACACUAGAGGUAGGCGGAAUGUGACAAGUAGCGGUGAAAUGCAUAGAUAUGUCACAGAACACCAAUUGCGAAGCAGCUUACUAUGGUGUCAUUGACACUGAGGCACGAAAGCGUGGGGAUUCAAACAGG
rnacentral:rRNA from 1 species